rnacentral:rRNA from 1 species
AGGUCCAGCCUGCCCAGUGACAAAGUUAAACGGCCGCGGUACCCUAACCGUGCGAAGGUAGCGCAAUCACUUGUUCUUUAAAUGAGGACUAGUAUGAAUGGCAUCACGAGGGUUACACUGUCUCCCCCAUCCAAUCAGUGAAACUGAUCUCCCCGUGAAGAAGCGGGGAUAAAAUUAUAAGACGAGAAGACCCCAUGGAGCUUUAAACUCAGUACCACCUGUCCCACAAUAAACCAAAGUAACCUAACAGAGAUGACUACUAGUUUUCGGUUGGGGUGACCGCGGAGCAAAACAAAACCUCCACGAUGAAUGGGCCUCCUACCCUUAUCUAAGAGCUACCACUCUAAGAAUCAAAAAAUUGACAAAAAUUGAUCCAAGUAUUCUUGAUCAACGAACCAAGUUACCCUGGGGAUAACAGCGCAAUCCAUUUCAAGAGCUCCUAUCGACAAAUGGGUUUACGACCUCGAUGUUGGAUCAGGGUAUCCCAGUGGUGCAGCCGCUACUAAAGGUUCGUUUGUUCAACGAUUAAAACCCUAC